CGCGGGGUAGAGCAGUUGGCAGCUCGUCGGGCUCAUAACCCGGAGGUCCCAGGUUCGAGUCCUGGCCCCGCUA
rnacentral:tRNA from 1 species